UACGAAAGCGGCUAGCCUUGCUCGGAAUUACUGCGCGUAAAGCGCACGUAGGCGGAUAGACAAGUUGGGGGUGAAAUCCCGGGGCUCAACCUCGGAACUGACUUCAAAACUGUCUGUCUAGAGGUCAGGAGAGGUGAGCGGAAUACCGAGUGUAGAGGUGAAAUUCGUAGAUAUUCGGUGGAACACCAGUGGCGAAGGCGGCUAACUGGACUGAUACUGACGCUGAGGUGCGAAAGUGUGGGGAGCAAACAGG
rnacentral:rRNA from 1 species